GAUUUCGAGUGUAGCGAAGAAUGUAUUGUCCUUUUUUUUUUCUAUACAAUGACAAAAAUUGCUACCAUAAAUCUUACCUCGAUACGUACGUAUAUUAACACAUUUGAAAUUAAAUAUAGUCUAGAAAAUAGUCUUCAGGAGGUCAUUUUUUGAUUUUCCAAACGGCUUUUAUAAUAUCUGGGAAAACUCGGGAGAAUAUGUAAAGAAAGUGGAAAAUUUCCAUAAACAAUGCUUUUUAUUAUUUUUAAUUGUGUUAUUUGUUGUAUUUAGUCCAAAAUAUUCGUCGAGAAUUGAAAUUUGGAUAGAAAACUUAUAUUUGCCUAUUUCUGUAAACAAACAUUUGAUCCAUAUUUAAGUUAUUUAAAAACACUUUAUUUUGUGAGGAAUAUUUAUUUUAUAGAUGCACAUGGAUAAAAUUUUGAAACAAACCAGAAAUGAAUGAAAAUUGAACAGGAGUUUAAUAUCAUAGGUCGCAUA